GCUACCACGCCCGGCUAAUUUUUUGUAUUUUUAGUAGAGACGGGGUUUCACCGUGUUAGCCAGGAUGGUCUCGAUUUCCUGACCUCGUGAUCUGCCCGCCUCGGCCUCCCAAACUGCUGGGACCACAGGCAUGAGCCACCGCACGUGGCUUUUUUUUUUUUUUUUUUUUUUUUUUUUUUUUUUUUUUUUUUUUUUUUUUUUUUUUUUUGAGAUGGAGUCUUGCUCUGUUGCCCAGGCUAGAGUGCAGUGGCGUGAUCUCGGCUCACCGCAACUUCUGCCUUCUGGGUUCAAGCAAUUCUCCUGCCUCAGCCUCUUGAGUAGCUGGAACUACAGGCAUGCGACACCGCACCCGUCUAAUUUUUGUAUUUUUAUUAGAGACUGGAUUUCAUCGUAUUGGCCAGGCCGGUCUCGAACUCCUGACCUCGUGAUCUGCCCGCAUCGG
rnacentral:lncRNA from 1 species